GGCCGGUAUAAAGACGUCCUGCGGGGACCCACGCCGCACGCCGACCAAGCCCGUCACCAUGAGGAGUCUGGCCGCGCUGCUGCUGGUGCUGGCGUGCGCGAGCGCCGCCCCCAGGCCGCGGGCCCAGGCCCCGGUCAUCUACACCUACGGCACGCCCCUGGCCUACGUCCCGGGCGCCGCCGCCUACAGCCCAGCCCUGGCCUCGCCGGGCCUGUACGCCGACUACGUGCCCUACAGCUACAAUUACGCUUACACGUAUCCAUACGUCUACGUGUAACUGCUGCUAUGUCGUACAAACGUAUUCAUCUCAUCUGCUGUAGCUGAUCACCAUUACUACUCUUCAUAACAACUGUACAUUUCAUUACAAAAAUAAAAAUGUAUUUUAUUAACAAUUUUCAAACUA